CAGAAAGCCAAUCUCUUCCUAGACUACUCCCCAAUGGGGAGAAAGGUAUCUAUCUAUGUGGGUGGAGGGUGUUCGGUCUAAAGCUAGUCUGGAAAGAGGCUAAAAAGACAUGACCAGAGACGGGGGAGCAAAAAGAAGAUGUAAGCUAAAAAGCCACAGAGCCUCCAGGAAUGUGAAAACUUUAAACUGCAGCAUGUCCUCAACCAGCCAACCAGCCAUGAUGGCUACUCAACAUACUAGAGAUUCCUGGAGAAGGACACAACGUUAUUCUGGUCCUCAGGAGUUGGAGCCCAGAGUGACGGAGACACCAGCACACUGCCUCCCAGCUGAAUGGCCAGUUCACAGCACCAGGAUGCCCACUGGAUACCAGUCAGCAGGAAAAAAAAAAUCAUGUGACACAGAUGGUUGUUCACACAAGGAGCCGGGUCUGCAUAAUUGUAUCACUAAUCAGCAGUAAGGCAAUUAGUUGUGUAAGUGUGCUAUAAUCAUUCUAACAGAAGAGAUGACGAAAAGACAAAAAAAAAGGGGGGGC
rnacentral:lncRNA from 12 species